UACGUAGGUGGCGAGCGUUGUCCGGAAUUACUGGGUGUAAAGGGCGUGUAGGCGGGGAAGCAAGUCAGAUGUGAAAUCCCGGGGCUCAACUCCGGAGUUGCAUCUGAAACUGUUUUUCUUGAGUGCUGGAGAGGAAAGCGGAAUUCCUAGUGUAGCGGCGAAAUGCGUAGAUAUUAGGAGGAACACCAGUGGCGAAGGCGGCUUUCUGGACAGUAACUGACGCUGAGGCUCGAAAGCGUGGGGAGCAAACAGGAUUAGAUACCCGGGUAGUCCCU
rnacentral:rRNA from 1 species